rnacentral:lncRNA from 1 species
CCCGAGCUUCCACAUCGAGAUCGAACCAAAUCACACCGUGCCCUAGCCUCUCGGCCAAUAAAACUCAAAAGUCCUCCACCUUUCACUUCCCUUUCUUUCAAGCCUAUGGCUUCUGUCGCACCCUAGAUUCCACUCCGGGGAGACGCCACCAUAGAUGAGACACAAGAGCCUCGUCUUCCUACCUCCAGUUUCUUUCACUUUCUACGCUACCAGGGGAAAAAAUUUGUUUGGAAUGAGAAGGUGAGAUCGUGACGACAAUAAGGUACAUAAAAGAAAAGAGGAGAAGAAAAGAGGUGAAAGAGAGGAAGUCUGAAGACUAAAGAAUGAGUAU